GUUCCCUUAGCUCAGGGGUAGAGCGGGCGACUCCAGUUUAUUCGGAUUCAUCGUCAGGCCGGGCGUUCAAAUCGCUCAGGGGACU